rnacentral:lncRNA from 1 species
CUUAUUUGAAUAUGGAUGAACUGAAGCAGCAAACUAUACUUNNNNNNNNNNNNNNNNNNNNGGGGGGGGGGUAAUGUGAGAUGGAGAAAAUGAAAGAAAAGUGAUUGUCAUGCAUGGCAAGGAAAACCACAACCAGACCACAGGAUGAUUUUCUUUGGAAAAUGUUUUGUGUUAUAGGGAAGAAUAUACAAUCAGCAUUGAAAAGUAUAUAUUAAUUGUUUGGAAAAGCAAUGUCAUAAUUUGGAAUAUUGAGGCUGCAGAUAAGAUUGACAGUUCUAGCUUUGUGCUAGGUGUUAAUCGAUGCAUAAUUUGAUAAGAUUUGAAUCAAAAUUCAAGCACAGAAUUAACCAUAUUUUUAGUAUUUAUCGAAAUUCGUGUGUGUUUCAUCACAGGCAAGAUAGGCAAUGACUGAGAUGCUCUUUAUGGACCAGAUUUUAUAAUUUGAAUAAAAAGUUCUAUAUUU